rnacentral:rRNA from 1 species
CACGUAGGAGGCAAACGUUAUCCGGAUUUACUGGGCGUAAAGCGCGUGCAGGCUGUUCAAUAAGUUGGGCGUGAAAGCUCCCGGCUCAACUGGGAGAGGUCGUUCAAUACUGUUGGACUAGAGGAUGGUAGAGGAAGGUGGAAUUCCGGGUGUAGUGGUGAAAUGCGCAGAUAUCCGGAGGAACACCAGUGGCGAAAGCGGCCUUCUGGACCAUUCCUGACGCUCAGACG